UUCAGAUGUGGGGCCCAGUUCCUCCUCCCCUGACUCUGGGCUGGCCAGGAUGACUCGCUUGUAACCAACGGAAUACGGUGGAAGGGACACUGCCCGAGUCAGGCCAGGCCGGAGGCUAUGCAGAUCCGCCUGGCUCUCAUGGGACACCAGCUCUCUGGACACUCUAUCCCGGGAACCCCCCUCUCCAGAUGCUGCCGCCGUGCCGUGGGAAGCCCGAGCCGUGUGAGAGGCCACGUGGAGGUUCUGGUGACAGGCACAGCGGAGCCGGCCCGCUGAGUCCCUCAGCCCAGGACCCGACAUACAGGCCCUCAAGAGCGAGGUUAAAGAACAAGUAACACAUCUUGGAGCCCAAGGGCAGGUACUCGGGAAACCACUUGGGCAAGAUGGCCUCAAAGGGGAGGUGGCCAGGAGGCCCCACGUCACAGAGUCCUCGCGUGGGAUCAGUGAAACCCCACGUUUAAAGAUGUUGGCAGAGUCCCGCCCAUGCGAUGUGCUCAGCCAUCACCAUCGCCAGGUGCCUCUGUGCAGUGCACAACCUGCUCAAGGGGAUGGAGCUGGAGACCCACCAGGAGGUUCGGCGUUGGUCUGUGGUCAGCGGGGAUUUGGACUGAGUCAAGGAGCCCCGCAAAGGUCCCUGAAGCUGACCAGCGCCCGGCGGAGCAGCAGCGCCAGGGGAGCCAAACCGCUGACCCGGGCUUUUCCCUUUCCACCCAAAUCUUGCUCCCCUGCGCCCUCUGCAGGCCGACGGGGAAGCCACACGUUGAGGUCGAUUUAGACGCGUUUCUGGGUCGAGGAUCCCACUGGUUCUCAACCGUCUGGGCGGAACGGCAGCAUCUCCUGGGGAGUGAGUCCUGAAUCCCACCGAAAACC
rnacentral:lncRNA from 1 species